CUUUUCAGUAGGUUCUCUUGUCUGAUUUGGAAAAGAGCUGCUGAUGUUUGCACUCGAAUUCAAUGAUGGUUGCCCAGUUUAUGUUAGAGUGUAUUAUACUGCUAUAAAAAGUUGUACCAAUUUAUUGUAUACGUAAAUUAUUAUGUAAACAUCAGAGGUUAAGAUUAGUUAUCUUACAACUUUAUAGCGAAAAAUACUCAAAUUUAUAACUGUUCGAGAGUUAAAAAUGUGUAUUUUUCUAGGUUGUCUAAAUCAAGAGCUUUUAUUGCCUCUUUAGCAAUCUACUAGGAUCAUUGGUAUUGUCCAAUAUGUAUUGCAAUUGGUAUAUAUGUACUCGGAUCUGGCAGGCAUAUUGCAUUGUUCAUUCCAUCGGUUAUACCUCCCUUGCUCGGCGCGGCCGGAGACGUGGUGGCGACGGCCGAAGGAGAGUGGCGCGGCCGGAGACGGGCCAGCGCGGGCGGAUCCGCGGCGGCGACGACCGGAGGCGACGGGUGCGGCCGGAGACGGGCUGGCGCGGGGCGGAUCCGUGGCAGCGGCGACCGGAGGCGAGGCCAUCUCUCCUCCCUGCUCUCGUCAUCUUCAGUGGAUGAACACUGGGCAGGCGGCAAGGGAUGGUCUUGGCACAGCCUGAUUCAACUCCAGAUUAUUCUAACACCGAGGGAUGGACGGAUGGUCAUGGCCCAGCAAUCGCACCUGCAUCUACUUCCGCAACCUCUCCAAAGAGCCACGUUGAGGAUCUCUUUUUCCCCAAUGACCUUACACGUUUGUAUGAUUCAGUUGUCACCUUUUCCAGAUGAAUCAAGUCUCAAUGAAUGAGGUCGAGACGAUGCUUGAGCUCUACAAAAUCAUAAAAGCUGAAAAAAUAGUGUGAAAUCAUACUUAAUUAUUAUAUAUUACUGCAACACCUCGGUGGAAUGGAGUGUCUGCAAGAUACUAAAGCGGUUAAAUUCUGGCUAAUUCUUAAUACUAAAAUAAGCUAAAACUUAUGGUUUAAAUUCUGACUUGAUUUUGCUAUUUGACAUGUUUGAGAGUAGGCUUUGCCAUGUAUCAUUACCAUGUUAAUUCAGGUUCUAAUAAAAACAUAUGAUAUCUCUAUAUUUUUCUUCACUCUAUUUCAUGUUGGUUAUCAUCGACACUAAUAUUUUUCUUUUCCUAUCUGUUAACAGAAAUUCUACCCGAAUUUUUAUUUCUUUCUUCAUAUGAGAUCCUUUAGUUCGUAUUGUUGAAUGUUACAUAUCUCUAAAUAUCACUAUAUUCAUAUUUCUCAUAUCUGAUGGACCAUGAGCUGUGUAUAUGUGCCUAAUCACUUUACCCAUCAGCUCUUACCUGGCAUAGUUUUCAGCUGUUCACUGACUUCCACGUUGUAUUUUGGAACCUUCCAUGGGGAUUGAUCUCAUGUGUUUCAAUCUUCUGAAGGUUCUUUUGUCAAUACUUGCUUUUUUGUGAUGCUGCACUUUACACCCGAUGGUGUUAUUGGAACCGAAUACGGUAGUUCUUGUUUAAUUCAAGCCCGGAUAUGGUUAGGAAUGUGCUAGCGUACUUUCCUUAUGGUUGCUCACUGGACAAAGCACUAAAUAUGAAAAAUAUGAAAACUUCAUUAGUAUCUGUAGGUAGAAAAGGAGGUUCUGUUUGGUAUAAGAUAAUAUGGGGCCGGUCACAAGAAAAGAAGAGGAAAGAUCACAAAUUAUUGUGAAUAUAGUUGACAAUUUUGUAUACAUAGGAAAGUUUGCAUUGUGACUUGUGAAUAUUUUUUCCCUCCUUCCCGCGCUUCUGUAGACAGCUUAGGAAUUCUGUGGUGUACGAAUAGUACCCUAAAAUUCAAAGCGUAGAUUUGUGGGGCACAUCAAAGAGCGACCUUAAUUUCAGUCCAGGCCUGAGUGGCCACUAUCUCGGUCUUAUCUUCUGGUUGCAUAUUGCUCUCUACAUCCCUCUUUCCUCUCUAUAUCUUGUAUGGCUUUCAUCAGGGUGCAGCUGCCUCUUUUGAAGAAAUUAAGAGGAGUUGCUGAUGAGCUUCAGGGUAUCCUAAAGAGGCAAUGCUUUGGAGUAAUCUGUUUGAGCUGGCCCUCUCAUAUUUUUGUCACGGUUUAUUUCGCUUAUUCUAGCUCUUGUUAUUUGUCGUUAACAUGUUAGUAUUUGCAAUCGUUGUUAAUUGUUCCAUCUGCUCAAUUCUUCUUGUGUUCUAAUGUUACAGUGUAGUAGAAUUAAAAAAGUGAUGUUAGUAUAUGCUCAAUUCUCAUUUAGACCAUAUAAAAACAUGCAUUUGGUCAAGUUUACCAUAUUCUAGAAAUGGUUGACUGACCAACCUAGGGUGAAAAUACUUGGUUGCACUUGAAUGUGCUAAUGCUAGGGUGAAAAUGUUGAACCUGCUGAGCCUAAGGUAGCAGCAGGUAGUAGUAGCCUUAUUCAGCCGAUAGUGGUUAUUUUCUAGGUAAAGUGUAGAUGCGAGAUAUGAUAUGCCCUAUUUUUAUGAUCGUUAUAGUCACUUUAUGCUUCUUUUAGCUGGGACAUUGGUUUGUAAGGGGAAAGAUUUUAAAGAGCGACCAGAGCAUUAUUAGGAACCAUAUGGUGAUUCCGUGUUCAGGAAAAACAAUUGCCAUAUAAUAUCACAGUUAAAUUUAAAAAUGCUAUGAUGAUGGCUCCCAUAUGGUGAUUUAGUGCUCAGGAAAAACAAUUGCCACGGUGGUUGAUAGAAAGCACAAACUUCUUAGGUUUUUUCGUUGCUUGGGGUUACCAGCUUGGUGCUGCCUUGGUGCUAUUGUGGUUCCCAGUACUUUCUAGAAGCUUACAGUAUAUUUAUUUUGGCCAGUUGGUUGUAUUUUUCAUCUGUUGCCAAUAAAUCAUCUGUUUACCUGUCACAUGACCAUGUCACUGCCUUCUAAACCAUAUUUCCACUCCAAAGCAGACUUACCUAUUUACUGACUGAUCCUUGUUUCUACCAGGAAAACCAAAAAGAAUAGUUGGCAAUACCACCCAAAAAAUUCAGCUGCCAAUGUUUUGGUUCUCAGGGUCAAUUGAGUUACUCAUCUUGAAGUUGAGACAAACCUACAAGGCUAUAGCGUGAUGAAAAAUAUGAGGUUGAUGGGAUAUCGAAUAUCUAAAACCAGCACAAUGUAUCCUGGGGGCGCCAGUGACUACCGCAGGAAAGUUGGGGAGCCAUCAGAGGAUUUUGCUACAUACAUCCAGCAGAGAGGCUAUGACCUUCAUGAUUCAACCUACGGAAAGUUUGCUUCUAUGUUUGCAGUAAAAUUUGCAUGAAACCUGGAAAGAUUUGUUUCUAAAGAGGUGAACCAUUCUAACAUCUGUUUGCACAUGAUCCCAGAUGCUCGAGGAUGCCAAUUUCCAUAGUGUCAUCGCCCAAGACCGCACCGACCAGUUCCUGGGGGUCCUGGAGAGGUAGCUGCCUUUAACCGAGAAGACCAAAGAGACUUUCUGGGCACCUAGGUUAACGUUUUGAACCCUAUUUAUUUUGUGCCUUUUCUUUUCAUCAUCUCUGGUUACUCACUACAUCCACAUCCACCUAUGUUCUAUCACUGGGAGGACUACGACGACAUCGUAAAGGGCUUGAGCUUGAAGCUGAAGCAGAGCUGCUUGAGUGAUCCACUGCUUGAGGUGAUAUUGCGAGCAUCAUCAUGGUUUAUUAAUAGGAAUAUAUUGAUGUGGCAUUGCAGUGGCGUAUUGGUAAUUGAUAGUGCUGAUUCUAGAUACAUGUAAACUCCUUAUAAAUACUUUCAUUUAUACCGUGAAUAUAUUGUUGUGGUGCUGCAGUCGUGUAUAUAUGUGUGACAUGUUACUAUUUCUAAGACAAGGCUUAUGAUUUUAAUAUGUAUGGCUUUAGUGUUUGCGCC